rnacentral:rRNA from 1 species
CCUGGGGAGUACGGCCGCAAGGUUAAAACUCAAAUGAAUUGACGGGGGCCCGCACAAGCGGUGGAGCAUGUGGUUUAAUUCGAUGCAACGCGAAGAACCUUACCUACUCUUGACAUCCAGAGAACUUUCCAGAGAUGGAUUGGUGCCUUCGGGAACUCUGAGACAGGUGCUGCAUGGCUGUCGUCAGCUCGUGUUGUGAAAUGUUGGGUUAAGUCCCGCAACGAGCGCAACCCUUAUCCUUUGUUGCCAGCGGUCCGGCCGGGAACUCAAAGGAGACUGCCAGUGAUAAACUGGAGGAAGGUGGGGAUGACGUCAAGUCAUCAUGGCCCUUACGAGUAGGGCUACACACGUGCUACAAUGGCGCAUACAAAGAGAAGCGACCU